rnacentral:rRNA from 1 species
AGAGUUUGAUCAUGGCUCAGAGUGAACGCUGGCGGCGUGCUUAACACAUGCAAGUCGAACGAGAACGGCUCUAGCUUGCUAGAGUGUCAGCUAAGUGGCGGACGGGUGAGUAAUGUAUAGUUAAUCUGCCCCUUGGAGAGGGAUAACAGUUGGAAACGACUGCUAAUACCUCAUACUCCUUCUACCUUGAUGGUAGUUGGGAAAUGUUUUUUCGCCAAGGGAUGAGACUAUAUGGUAUCAGGUAGUUGGUAGGGUAAGAGCCUACCAAGCCUAUGACGCCUAGCUGGUCUGAGAGGAUGAUCAGCCACACUGGAACUGAGACACGGUCCAGACUCCUACGGGAGGCAGCAGUGGGGAAUAUUGCACAAUGGAGGAAACUCUGAUGCAGCAACGCCGCGUGGAGGAUGACACAUUUCGGUGCGUAAACUCCUUUUAUAUGGGAAGAUAANGACG